GGACGGAUUGUAAAAAUAUUCUUUUUUCAUCAAAUACUUGACAUUCUUAUAUCAAAGUACAAAUGUAGAAUUCUCAAGCAUUAAAUAUAUAUAUAUGUAUGUAAAUUUUUGAACUUAUUCUGAAACACCAUUUUUUUUCUUUCUGAAAGUCUACAACUUUUCAAGGACUGUGAUCUUAGGCCAGGGUUUUUUAAUUUGUUGGUUUACAGAUUUUCUCCAUGAAAAAGUCGUGUCUGUCGGUCGGAAAAAAAAAAAGAAAAAAAAAUAUCUCUCAAAAAAGAAAAAUAUGCAAAAAAAUAUAUAUUUCACCUUUCUAACAAUAUGUUUGGUUUGCUAUUUGAUCAUCAUUUCUUAUACAUAAGUUCGAUGAAAUAUUAUUGCUUAUAGCUGCCAUAAACAUCACAUGACAUCAUCUAAUAAUUUUCUGUGAAAAAAGGGUGUUUGUGUCCACGGACAAAGACGAAAUUAAAUCGUCAUUUCACAAACGUAGCCCUUAAUGAAUUUCAGGAAACUUGGUUCUAAUGAUCUUCAAACACGAAAACUGAUGAAGAAAAAAAAAGAAAAAACGUCGUACGAAAAUAAGUCUUGACACACAUGUCAAAAACGUAAUAGACUCAUCCACUGGAAAAAGGAAAUCGGGUUCAUCAGUUGUCAUGCAUUCCCAUUUUUUAUAUCCAAAUGGAGUAAAAAAAAAUUAUUGUCAAUGACACAAGUCUGAAGAAAAUUCCAAAGGAUUUGUUUUAAUUAAUUUCUUCAACUUGUCAGACGUCUUCACUGUUGGACAAGUUCAUUUUCCAUGUUUCUAUCUUACGGACUGAUGACAAAUACGAGAAACGAACUUAAUGUGUAAUGGAUUUUAAACA
rnacentral:lncRNA from 1 species